rfam:Myotis davidii contig224819, whole genome shotgun sequence.
GUGCUCAUUUCAGCAGCACACAUACAAAAAUUAGAACAAUACAGAAAAGAUUAGCAUGCUCUGUGCAAGGAUGACACAGACAUUCGUGAAGUGCUUUAUAUUAAA